CGGGUCCUCCCCCCGCCCUUUGUUCUCCAAGACCUGCCCAGCAAACCUUUUCUAGAAUUGCCCUACCACCCCGGGGCCAGCCAGGGGGCCUCCCUCGGAGCCACAGCCAGAGGACUGGGGACCUUCGGCCCCCGCCCGCCCGCUGCACCCUAAUCUGUGAAGUGCUAAACCAGCCCAGGGCUGGGACAGGUGAGCCGAGGACCUUGCGGGGCGCUGGCGAGCGGGGGAAACUGAGCGAUUCGCUGUGCUGCCCACGAGCACCCGGACCGCGCGGGCCUGAAGAGGGGGCGUGUCGCGAAGUGGCCUUGGCCUCUCCUUGCCCGGGGUCGGUCCCCUCUCCCCACGUCCACGCUUUUCUCCCAGCAUCCGGGAUCUGUGGGGUCUCCAGAGCACCCAGUCAUCGUCCCCUCCCCUAUAACCUCUCUCCCCACCCGCCCCUCGCGCAGCACCCAGAGGCGCAGGAAGCCGGCAAACGCCAGGCUCCACACGUGGCUGCUCCGGGGUGUCAUUUUUCAUUUCUCGGGAGGACAUUUCUUCUGGUGAGCCGGCAGGUCUAUUUUGUUGUGACCUUUAAUUAACACCCCGCGAGACACCUCCUGAGGGACCAGCCCAGCGCGGGGAUCACGUGAGGUGUAAUGGCAUCUCCAAGCCCCCGGGAGGGACCGGGUCUGGGGGUAGGCGAGGGAGCAAAGGACCUCUAGGGCUUUCCAGUCGGGGGCUUCGUUUUGAGAUAUGGGUGAGGCAGGAGGGGUCAGGAAGAGAAUAAUUAGGGGUACUGGAACUCUGGGCAACGCCCCCCACCCCACGUUCCUGGGGGGAGGAAUCUUUCUUGGCCUUUCUGGAGCUUGCCAUCCCCCCUACAUCCCCCGGGCUUGCAGCCUUUGCCUGGGAAUAUUUCACAGCUAACAAGGCGAGGUACGAAGGCCAAAAUAAAGAUGUUGAGAACAGUGUGGAAGUUUCCAUUGCGUUCCUACUUCCAAUUUAAAAGCGAUCAUAUCAGUAGAGGACCUUAGGGGGACAGGUACGCCUCCAGGCAGCACACGCCAGCUCCAGCCGAAUCUAUUCCGUAUAGGUGCAGCGGAAAAUAUCGACGCCAUUAGCUACGCGCUGCUUAUCAGCCGGAAAGCAGCGUGUGGCCAGGUGAAAUGGACGAGCCCGUGAAGACGAGGAUGGGAAGGUGGGGUGUCGAGGGGGAGCAACUGGGGAGCUGCGCGAUCCACCUUGGAGACUGAUGAGCCCGGAGCUUAUCUGAUUUGCAUCCCAAAGUAUCUGGGGCCCCAGAUUGUGUUUGAUGGGCUCGGAGCGCCCUCUGUUGAUAAAAGUCUAUAACUGGAGGCCCCUCAAGUGAUUUGAAGCGUUUAAAAAAUACACAGUGAAAUGCAAAAAAUUUAAACGCACAAUUCUGUGCGUUUUUAUAAAUGUAUAAAUGUUUUUAUAAAUUUUAUACUCUUUGUAUAAUCCACUACCCCAAUUAAAGUAUCAAUUUCCAUCACUCCAGAAAGUUCUUUCCUGCCUCUUUAGGCAGGCAGUCGGUCCCCACCCCUCAUAAGAAACCACUGUUCUGAUGUCUAUCACCAUAGAUUAGUUUUGACUGAUCUCGAAUAUUUUUGUACAUAGAACUCUUUUGUGUUUGGCUUAGCAUAGGUUUUCUUCAUUCCAUGUUGCCUUUUAUGGGUCUGUUUUCCAUUAUUCUGUUUCUCAUUCCUCCAUCUUUCCCACUCUCUCUUAUUAAUUGAAUAAUUUUUAGUAUUCCAAUAUCAUUCCUCUAUUAGGUUUUUAGUUCUAAUUAUUACAAUAUGCAUCUUAACUUAUUACAGGAUAAUUAGUGUUAAUAUUGUACCACUUCACCUAAAACAUAAGUUUGCAACAGUUCAAUUCCAUUUUCUCUCUCACCUUUAGGCUAAUAUUUGAAUAUAAUUUAUGUGUAUAUACAUUAUAAGAUCCUGUUUUAGCUAGCUUUUUUGAUGCUGAGACCAAAAUACCUAACAGGAACAAUAUAAAGAAGGGAAAAUUUAUUUGGUGAUGGGUCACAGUUUCAGAUGUCUCAGACCAUAGAUGGGCAACUCCAUAGCUCUGGCCCAAGGUGAUGCAGAACAUCAUGGACAAAGGGGAUGGCAGAGGAAAUGAGCUCAGGACAUUGUAAUCAGGAAGCACAGAGAGAUGGCUUUGCUCACCAAGAACAAAAUAUAAACCCCAAAGCCAUGCCCCAGUGACCUACCUCUGCCAGCCACACCCCACUUGCCUACAGUUACCUCCCAGUUAAUCCAUAUCAGUGGAUCAAUCCCCUGAUUAGGUUACAACUUUAAUACUCUAACCAUUUCACUACUAAAUGUUCUUGCAUUGGCUCAUACAUGAGCUUUUGGGGGACACCUCAUAUCUAAACCAUAACAGGCCCAUGAUACAAUUUUAUCAAUUUUACUUUAAACAAUCUGUUGUCUUUCCAUGAAACUAGAAAAAAUUCAGUGUUUUGUAUAUACCCAGUUUUUUAUAAUUUAUUUUUUUUAGUUGUAGAUGGACACAAUACCCUUAUUUUAUUUAUUUAUUCAUUUUUAUGUGAUGCUGAGAAUUGAAUCCAGGGCCUCGCAAGUGCUAGGUGAGUGCUCUACCGCUGAGCCACAACCCCAGGCCCUAUACCCAGUUUUAACAUUUCUGAGACUGUUCAUUUUUUUCUGUAUAGUGCCAAAUGUCCAACUAGAUUGUUUCCUGAAGAACUGCCUAAAGAAGUUCACAUAGCAUUUUUUUAUAGUGAGGGUUUCUUGGCAAUAUAUCCUUUCAGAUUCUGCUUAUCUGAAAAUGUCUUUAUUUCACUUUUGGGUUUGAGGAAUGGUUUAAUUAGAUGUAGGAUUCUUGGUUGGCAGUUAUUUUUCUGUCAGCCCUUUAAGAAUGUCAUUCAUUGUCAUUCCAUGCUUCUAAUUAAAGGUAAGCAGUAAUUCUUAUGGACAUUCCCCUGCAUGUAUUGCAUCCUUUUUUUCCCCCUCUGGGUGCCUUGAAGAUUUUCUCUUUAUCUUUGGUUUUCAGAAAUUUGACUGAUGUUUCUGGAUAUGAUUUUCUACAUUUAUCCUGCUUAGGGUCUGCUUAAUUUCUAGGACCUAUAAGUUGAUUGUGCUAGAGAUAGAACCCAGGACCAAGUGCACUACCACUGAACUACAUCCCUGGCCCUAAUUCUAAUGCUUGUCUGAAUUCCAACAUUUGACUCAUUUGGGAACCACUUUCAAAAUGAUUUUUCUCUUUGACUCUGAAUCACAUUUUCCUGUUUUCUUUUUUUCAUAGCCAAUAAACUUUAACUGUAUACUGAA